UCGGCGCUAAUACCUCAUAAUGCAGCGGAUCCGCAUGGAUAUGUUGUUAAAGGUUUACCGCCUUGGGGAUAGGCUUGCGUCUGAUUAGCUAGUUGGUGUGGUAACGGCACACCAAGGCUACGAUCAGUAACUGGUCUGAGAGGAUGAUCAGUCACACUGGAACUGAGACACGGUCCAGACUCCUACGGGAGGCAGCAGUGAGGAAUAUUGGGCAAUGCUCGAAAGAGUGACCCAGCAACGCCGCGUGGAGGAUGAAGGUAUUCUAUAUCGUAAACUCCUGUGAGAGCAGACGAAAGACAGAUUAUUAAUCUGGAUGACUGUAUGCUCAGAGGAAGCCCCGGCUAACUACGUG
rnacentral:rRNA from 1 species